rnacentral:tRNA from 1 species
GCGGGCGUAGCUCAGAGGUAGAGCAUUACCUUGCCAAGGUAAGGGUCAUGAGUUCGAAUCUCAUCGUCCGCUCCA